GACGAACGCUGGCGGCGUGCCUAAUACAUGCAAGUCGAGCGGGCCUCCGGAGGUGCUUGCACCUCCGGAAGGCCAGCGGCGGACGGGUGAGUAACACGUGGGCAACCUGCCUUUGAGGCCGGGAUAACACCGGGAAACCGGUGCUAAUACCGGAUGCGUCCCCUUUCGCGCCUGCGAGAGGGGAGAAAGACGGUCUUUAAGGCCGUCGCUCAAAGAGGGGCCCGCGGCGCGUUAGCUGGUUGGUGGGGUAAGGGCCUACCAAGGCGAUGAUGCGUUGCGGACCGGGGAGGGUGAUCAGCCACAAUGGGACGGAGGCACGGCCCAGAAUCCUGCGGGAGGCAGCAGUAGGGAAUCAUCCGCAAUGGGCGAAAGCCUGACGGUGCAACGCCGCGUGAGUGAGGAAGGUCUUCGGAUCGUAAAGCUCUGUUGUGAGGGAAGAACAGCUUCCGGAGGAAAUGCCGGAGGUUUGCCGGUACCUCACCAGAAAGCCCCGGCUAACUACGUGCCAGCCGCCGCGGUAA
rnacentral:rRNA from 1 species